GGAGAGUUAUCGAAGUGGUCAUAACGAGCUGCACUCGAAAUGCAGUUGUCCUUUACAGGGCACGUGGGUUCGAAUCCCACACUCUCCGCCA
rnacentral:tRNA from 1 species